rnacentral:lncRNA from 1 species
AUCCAAGCCCACUGCGAGACUGGCUUUGCUGCCAAAAGCACACUUGAUCAAAUCCCUGCACUCCAGGGGCUUAUUCAGGUUCAGCCACAGACUGAUAGCUGACCAACCCCUGGAGAACUGAGAAAUACACAUUUGGAAGACACUUGGAGUCUGUGUUGAGAAAGCAGACAGAAAGGUUGCCGGGCAAUUGGGAAACAAGCCAAUAGGAGCCCUGUGGAUUGAAGACUGAGGUGCACUUGGAGAUCUUCAUUUCCUGGGAUGCAUCAGUGUUAUGUGGAGCUUAAUUAUGGCUAACCCUGGGAGAAAAUAGUCUGAAGGUUUUCCUUCAAGAGAGACUAACUCAGCAUGAAGCCCUGCCCUUCAGAGUCUCCCAUCUUCUACCAUUAGAAAGUGGGGAUUCUCCAUGAGCAAAAGCUUCC